UACGGAGGGUGCAAGCGUUAAUCGGAAUUACUGGGCGUAAAGCGUGCGCAGGCGGUUCGUUGUGUCGGUGGUGAAAGCCCCGGGCCUUAACCUGGGAAUGGCCAUGGAAACUGGCGAACUGGAGUGUGGCAGAGGGGGGUGGAAUUCCGCGUGUAGCAGUGAAAUGCGUAGAGAUGCGGAGGAACACCGAUGGCGAAGGCAGCCCCCUGGGCUAACACUGACGCCUCAGGCACGAAAGCGUGGGGAGCAAACAGG
rnacentral:rRNA from 1 species